rnacentral:rRNA from 1 species
AUUGAACGCUAGCGGGAUGCUUUACACAUGCAAGUCGAACGGCAGCGCGGACUUCGGUCUGGCGGCGAGUGGCGAACGGGUGAGUAAUGUAUCGGAACGUGCCCAGUAGCGGGGGAUAACUACGCGAAAGCGUAGCUAAUACCGCAUACGCCCUACGGGGGAAAGCAGGUGAUCGUAAGACCUUGCACUAUUGGAGCGGCCGAUAUCGGAUUAGCUAGUUGGUGAGGUAACGGCUCACCAAGGCGACGAUCCGUAGCUGGUUUGAGAGGACGACCAGCCAGACUGGGACUGAGAAACGGCCCAGACUCCUACGGGAGGCAGCAGUGGGGAAUUUUGGACAAUGGGGGCAACCCUGAUCCAGCCAUCCCGCGUGUGCGAUGAAGGCCUUCGGGUUGUAAAGCACUGUUGGCAGGAAAGAAACGUCGCGGGCUAAUACCCCGUGGAACUGACGGUACCUGCAGAAUAAGCACCGGCUAACUACGUG